AUGUGCUUCACUUGAAUCUGACCACUAUUGAAAAGCUCAAAGCUUGAUAACUAAUCUCAUUAUCUCGAAAGAUACUGUUACCAUAAUCAAUAAGAAGCAGCAUACAGUUACUAAUCCAACGGUGUCAAUAAUAAAAUGUCUAGAAGACGGCACAGUGACGGGGAUGAUGGUGGCCAGUCUCACAAAAGAAGGAGAACGUCUGAGCCCGUUGAGAUUGAGGAUCGCCUGGAAUCACUGAUAUGUCGAGUGGGAGAAAAGAGUACCUCUUCCCUGGAAAGCAACUUGGAAGGUCUCGCAGGUGUAUUGGAAGCGGACCUCCCCAAUUACAAAAACAAAAUCCUGCGCAUCUUGUGUGCUGUGGCUCGACUUCUACCCGAGAAGCUGACCGUGUACACAACACUAGUGGGCCUUCUCAAUGCCAGGAACUACAACUUUGGCGGGGAGUUUGUGGAGGCCAUGAUCAGACAACUUAAAGAGACCUUGAAGGCCAACCUGUACACCGAAGCUCUUUACCUAGUGCGCUUCCUCUGUGACCUGGUGAACUGCCACGUGAUCGCUGCCCCCUCCAUGGUGGCCAUGUUUGAGAACUUUGUUAGCGUCACUCAGGAGGAGGAUGUUCCGCAGGUGCGUUCGGACUGGUUUGUCUAUGCUGUACUCUCUAGUCUCCCCUGGGUUGGGAAGGAGCUUGAUGAGAAGAAGGACGUAGAGAUGGACCGGCUCCUCAACCAGAUUGACGGUUAUCUCAAGAGGCGACUGAAGACUCAUGUCCCCAUGCUUCAGGUUUGGACGGCAGAGAAGCCACACCCACAAGAAGAGUACCUGGACUGCCUGUACGCUCAGAUCCAAAAGCUAAAGAAGGACCGCUGGCAGGAGCGCCACAUCUUGCGGCCGUACAUUGCCUUUGACAGCGUGCUGUGUGAGGCCCUGCAGCACAACCUGCCACCUUUCACCCCACCAGCCCACAUGCCCGACUGCCAGUACCCCGUGCCCCGCGUUAUCUUUCGCAUGUUCGACUACACAGAUGCCCCCGAGGGCCCUGUCAUGCCAGGCAGCCACUCUGUCGAGAGGUUUGUUAUUGAGGAUAACCUUCACAACAUCAUCAAGUCCCACUGGAAAGAGAGGAAGACCUGUGCUGCGCAGUUGCUGAGCUAUCCAGGGAAAAACAAGAUCCCACUCAACUAUCACAUUGUGGAGGUGAUCUUUGGAGAGCUCUUCCAGCUGCCCUGUCCCCCCCACAUCGAUGUUAUGUACACCACGCUGCUCAUUGAGCUCUGCAAGCUGCAGCCAGGCUCCCUGCCCCAAGUUUUGGCCCAAGCCACAGAGAUGAUGUACGUGAGGUUGGACAGCAUGAACACUAUUUGCAUAGACCGACUACUCAACUGGUUCUCCCACCAUUUGAGCAACUUUCAGUUCCGAUGGAGCUGGGACGACUGGGUGGACUGUUUGGCCCUGGAUGCAGACAAACCCAAGCCCAAGUUUGUCAAGGAGGUUCUGGAGAAAUGCAUGAGGCUCUCCUAUCAUCAGCGGAUAGUGGACAUCGUCCCUCCCACUUUCUCAGGACUCAUCCCAGCCGACCCCAUCUUCUUUUACAAAUACCAAGAUGAGGCCAACAGUGCGCUGCCAGGCUAUGCGGUGGCGAUAGCGGUGGGCAACGCCAUCAAGAACCGGGCCUCCAACGAGGAGAUCCUCACCGUGCUCAAAGACGUGCCGAACCCCAACCAGGAAGAUGACGACGAUGAGGGCGAGGGCUUCAACCCCCUGAAGAUAGAGGUGUUCCUGCAGACCCUCCUCCAUCUGGCUGCCAAGUCCUUCAGCCACUCCUUCAGUGCCCUGGCCAAGUUCCAUGAGAUCCUGAAGGCCCUGACGGACUGUGACGAGGGCAAGCUGCAUAUCCUCCGGGUGGUCUACGAGGUCUGGAAGAACCACCCACAGAUGGUCUCUGUGCUGGUGGACAAGUUGAUCCGUACACAGAUUGUGGAUUGUGCAGCCGUAGCCAACUGGCUCUUCUCCCCUAGCAUGGCUCAUGAGUUUACCAGGUUUUACGUGUGGGAGAUUCUGCACUCCACUAUCCGUAAGAUGAACAAACACGUCCAGAAGAUUCAGAAAGAGCUGGAAGAGGCCAAGGAUAAGCUGGAGAGGCAACAGCAUAAGAAGCAGAAGGACAGUGGAGACGAGGAAGACAUGGAGAAGAACAGUGAGGAUGAGGACGGUCAGCUGGAGGAGCAGAUCGAGCGUCUGCAGGAAAAGGUGGAGUCGGCCCAGAGUGAGCAGAAGAACCUUUUCCUGGUCAUCUUCCAGCGCUUCAUCAUGAUGCUGACGGAGCACCUGGUGCGCUGCGAGACAGGCAGUGUGGACUUCAGCACGCCCUGGUACAAGAAUUGCAUCGAGAGGCUGCAGCAAAUCUUCCUCAUGCACCAUGUGACAAUCCAGCAGUACAUGGGGACACUGGAGAACCUGCUGUUCACUGCCGAGCUCGACCACCACAUCCUAGCUGUGUACCAGCAGUUCUGUGCCCUGCAGCUCUGAGCCCGUACACACCAAACGCCAUACUACACACAUAGCCAGCUCUUGCAUCAAGGAUUCCUCGUUAGACCUUUUUUGUUAUUUCGACUUUGUGUGGAAGGGCUCCGAGUUGGAGCUUUCUGCACUGGCUGAGGGGGGCGUUGGGGGGGAACUAUCACGGAUCCCAACUGUUGCUAGGAAACAGAUGAUGACUGCUGGUACAGCAUAUAUGAACAGCUGGGAAUAUCAAUGGAUGAGGAAAAGGAAUAUUGGUUCCUGUAACUGGAAAAUCUAAGAACUCAAGAGGAGCAACUGACAGUACUAAACCAGUGGAGGCUGGUGCGAUAAGCUAUAGGAGGACCGGCUCAUUGUAAUGGCUGGAAUGGAAUUGAAGGUACAGAGUCAUACAUGUGGUUUCCAUGUCUGAUGUGUUUGAUACCAUUCCAUUUCAGUCUUUACACUGAGCCCGUCCUCCUAUAGCUCCUCCCACCAGCCUCCACUGUACUAAACAUACAUGGAAAGUGGUAACUCAACCAAUAAUGUUGACUUGACAUAGGUGGUUUUAACAGAGUAACUUGUACAGGACAGCAACCAUAGCUCACUCACACAUGGAGGCUAUCAUAUUGGCAGUGGCCCGCUGGUGCUCUGGGAACCAGAGCGCUGCCAGCUUGGUGGGGGUGAAAAUGACCAGGGGCUGAGCCAGGGCACACAGGGUCUGGCCCCCCAUCACCACGGGGAAUUUGGCCGCACUGACAUGGCUCCCCAGGACGCUCACGAAACGCAGCACAGCUCCCAACAUGUUGAGCCACGAACCCAGCACCAACUACAGGGGAAACAGGCAUGGGAGGGAACAGAAUGCAUGAUUUAAGUUCGCGUUGACUUUGUAUGUUUUUCCUCAAUUGGAAGAAAGGACAAAACACAAAUAAACUAUACACUUGUGUGGA